rnacentral:rRNA from 1 species
CGUAGGGUGCGAGCGUUGUCCGGAAUUAUUGGGCGUAAAGGGCUUGUAGGCGGUUCGUCACGUCGAAAGUGAAAACUCAGGGCUUAACCCUGAGCCUGCUUUCGAUACGGGCGAACUAGAGGAAUGCAGGGGGAGAACGGAAUUCCUGGUGGAGCGGUGGAAUGCGCAGAUAUCAGGAGGAACACCGGUGGCGAAGGCGGUUCUCUGGGCAUUACCUGACGCUGAGAAGCGAAAGCGUGGGGAGCAAACAGGCUU